UACGUAGGGUCCGAGCGUUGUCCGGAAUUACUGGGCGUAAAGAGCUCGUAGGUGGUUUGUCGCGUUGUUCGUGAAAACUCACAGCUUAACUGUGGGCGUGCGGGCGAUACGGGCAGACUUGAGUACUGCAGGGGAGACUGGAAUUCCUGGUGUAGCGGUGGAAUGCGCAGAUAUCAGGAGGAACACCGGUGGCGAAGGCGGCUAUCUGGACCGUGACUGACGCUGAGGCGCGAAAGCGUGGGGAGCAAACAGG
rnacentral:rRNA from 1 species